rnacentral:lncRNA from 1 species
CAACUUUUUGUUCUUCUAGGCAGCAGUUUGCAUUGACUGUCCCUAGUCCUUGUUCCUCAUUUCCUAGCUCUAUUCCUAUGUGACCCAUAGUAUCUAUUUAAGUUACCUAUUGAAUAAUUGACAUUUUCUAGGUGUUGCAUCCACCGCUGUUUAUUUUUUUGGAAAUGAUAAAAGCAUGAUAAUACAAUUCAUUUUAAGUUAAAAGUGUUUUGACGUCAUCUGCAUUUUUUUUUCCUAAAAGUUCGCUGCAUGCAAUCAAUUCAGUGAUGCAGAGGAUGGAUACAGAAUAUGACAAUAUUGUUAGUGGUCGAGGACUGCUGCAGUUGUGCAUGAGGAUCUUCAGGCUUAUAACUAAUUUCAUUUGCAUCUGCUUCAGACAAGUAUGUGUGAAGCUGACCCUGAGAUUUUGCCUUUGCCGACUGAAAACAGGAGACUGGAAAAAAGCAAGAAAUCUUCCCAUCUCAUUGCCACGGAGUGAGAUAUUUUCCUUCAUCGUCCUGUCAUGAGCACUAAAGAGUGGAUGCUCUAGGAAGACUAUCAGUCCUCAAAUGGUUCCGUCUGGGUCCUGCAAUAGAUUGGGUGCGUUGUUGGCUCUGACAAAAUCUAAGGAGAUCCUGGUUUCUAACCACAUAAUGUAAUCUCAGUUUAAAGUACUAAAAAUAUUUGGGAAGAGUUUAUAUGAAAAGGGUGAGGGCUUGAACAUAAAUUGAAAGCUGCUGCUGGAAGGACUGAAUGACCGAAUGUGGUUAAACCAGUGAGUAAACUCGAGUAUUUUUGGCUUUGCUGCUUUUAGAGCACAAAGACUCAGCUCAGGGACUAGUCCAAGAGCCUUAACAAGAUAGGAAAAAUGACCAUAUCUAACAUGAUCGUAAGAACAUACAGGUGAUCUAGUACCUUUAAGGUUUGCUUGGAGUGCUUCUUUUUCUCAGCUAGUGGCAU